rnacentral:rRNA from 1 species
GACGAACGCUGGCGGCGUGCUUAACACAUGCAAGUCGAACGGAAAGGCCCUGCUUUUGUGGGGUGCUCGAGUGGCGAACGGGUGAGUAACACGUGAGUAACCUGCCCUUGACUUUGGGAUAACUUCAGGAAACUGGGGCUAAUACCGGAUAGGAGCUCCUGCUGCAUGGUGGGGGUUGGAAAGUUUCGGCGGUUGGGGAUGGACUCGCGGCUUAUCAGCUUGUUGGUGGGGUAGUGGCUUACCAAGGCUUUGAAGGGUAGCCGGCCUGAGAGGGUGACCGGCGACAUUGGGACUGAGAUACGGCCCAGACUCCUACGGUAGGCAGCAGUGGGGAAUAUUGCACAAUGGGCGGAAGCCUGAUGCAGCAACGCCGCGUGCGGGAUGACGGCCUUCGGGUUGUAAACCGCUUUCGCCUGUGACGAAGCGUGAGUGACGGUAAUGGGUAAAGAAGCACCGGCUAACUACGUG